AUUGAACGCUGGCGGCAGGCCUAACACAUGCAAGUCGAACGAGAGGCGGACGGGUGAGUAAUGUAUGGGGAACUGCCCGAUAGAGGGGGAUAACUACUGGAAACGGUGGCUAAUACCGCAUACUAUCGGAUGAACCCAUAUGGGAUUAGCUAGUAGGUGGGGUAACGGCUCACCUAGGCGACGAUCCCUAGCUGGUCUGAGAGGAUGAGCAGCCACACUGGGACUGAGACACGGCCCAGACUCCUACGGGAGGCAGCAGUGGGGAAUAUUGCACAAUGGGCGCAAGCCUGAUGCAGCCAUGCCGCGUGUAUGAAGAAGGCCUUAGGGUUGUAAAGUACUUUCAGCGAGGAGGCGUUACUCGCAGAAGAAGCACCGGCUAACUCCGUGCCAGCAGCCGCGGUAAUAC
rnacentral:rRNA from 1 species